GAUGAACGCUGGCGGCGUGCCUAAUACAUGCAAGUCGAGCGAACGGACGAGAAGCUUGCUUCUCUGAUGUUAGCGGCGGACGGGUGGGUAACACGUGGAUAACCUACCUAUAAGACUGGGAUAACUUCGGGAAACCGGAGCUAAUACCGGAUGAUAUUUUGAACCGCAUGGUUCAAAAGUGAAAGACGGUCUUGCUGUCACUUAUAGAUGGAUCCGCGCUGCAUUAGCUAGUUGGUAAGGUAACGGCUUACCAAGGCAACGAUGCAUAGCCGACCUGAGAGGGUGAUCGGCCACACUGGAACUGAGACGCGGUCCAGACUCCUACGGGAGGCAGCAGUAGGGAAUCUUCCGCAAUGGGCGAAAGCCUGACGGAGCAACGCCGCGUGAGUGAUGAAGGUCUUCGGAUCGUAAAACUCUGUUAUUAGGGAAGAACAUAUGUGUAAGUAACUGUGCACAUCUUGACGGUACCUAAUCAGAAAGCCACGGCUAACUACGUG
rnacentral:rRNA from 1 species